rnacentral:rRNA from 1 species
UGAGUGAAGAAGGCCCUCGGGUUGUAAAGCUCUUUUGUCCGGAAAGAAAAGCUUCGGGUUAAUACCCCGGGGUUCUGACGGUACCGGAAGAAUAAGCACCGGCUAACUUCGUGCCAGCAGCCGCGGUAAUACGAAGGGUGCAAGCGUUACUCGGAAUUACUGGGCGUAAGGCGUGCGUAGGUGGUUCGUUAAGUCUGAUGUGAAAGCCCUGGGCUCAACCUGGGAAUUGCAGUGGAUACUGGAUCACUAGAGUGUGGUAGAGGGUGGCGGAAUUCCCGGUGUAGCAGUGAAAUGCGUAGAGAUCGGGAGGAACAUCCGUGGCGAAGGCGGCCACCUGGGCCAACACUGACACUGAGGCACGAAAGCGUGGGGAGCAAACAGGAUUAGAUACCCUGGUAGUCCACGCCCUAAACGA